rnacentral:rRNA from 1 species
UGGGGGAUAUUGCGCAAUGGAGGAAACUCUGACGCAGCAACGCCGCGUGAAGGAAGAAGGUCUUCGGAUUGUAAACUUUUGUCUUCGGGGACGAUAAUGACGGUACCCGAGGAGGAAGCCACGGCUAACUACGUGCCAGCAGCCGCGGUAAUACGUAGGUGGCGAGCGUUGUCCGGAAUUACUGGGUGUAAAGGGUGCGUAGGCGGGUUGACAAGUCAGAUGUGAAAUCCCAUGGCUUAACUGUGGGACUGCAUUUGAAACUGUUGCCCUUGAGUGCAGGAGAGGUAAGCGGAAUUCCCAGUGUAGCGGUGAAAUGCGUAGAUAUUGGGAGGAACACCAGUGGCGAAGGCGGCUUACUGGACUGCAACUGACGCUGAUGCACGAAAGCGUGGGGAUCAAACA